AGAUCUUGGUACAUGCUGAGAGGAGGAAGCUGGCUCAGAGGAAGAGAGGGAGUCAAGGACUUCUGAAUUCGAGGUCAGGACUUCUGAGUUAGAGGUCAGGAAGCCAGGCAGACUGAGCAGCAGAGGUCUACAGGCAUCGGCUAAAGUGGGGAAGAGCAGACGGGAACGCCAUGGAGCCUGGCAAGAUGACAGUCACUGAAAUGCAAACGGAGCACCUCCGAGGAUGACGAGGAUGACGAGGAUGACGAGACAGGUGGGAAGAAGUGAAGCAAAAGCGAGAGAUCAAAAUGUGAACUCUCAGCUGUCCCUAUUGCCAUGCUUUGCUCUGACAUCAUGGACUCUGACCUUCUGCAGCUUUAGUCCUUCUUAGAAGGUGGAACAAAAUAGUAGCAGGAGGAAAUACUGAG
rnacentral:sRNA from 1 species